AUAUCGAUAGUAUCGAUACCAAGAUGAGUAUUGGUAUCGGAUCGAUACUGUCGUGAUGAGAUCGAUACUUUUGUUGCAGUUUCUCUCCUGAGUUCAUGCGAGCACAGCGUCUCUCCAAGUCUGUGCGCAUAUCUUUUUACAUUCAUAUUUUUAC